GACGAACGCUGGCGGCGUGCUAACACAUGCAAGUCGAACGGUAAGGCCCUUCGGGGUACACGAGUGGCGAACGGGUGAGUAACACGUGGGUGAUCUGCCCUGCACUUCGGGAUAAGCCUGGGAAACUGGGUCUAAUACCGGAUAGGACCACUGCCUGCAUGGGUGGUGGUGGAAAGCUUUUGCGGUGUGGGAUGGGCCCGCGGCCUAUCAGCUUGUUGGUGGGGUGAUGGCCUACCAAGGCGACGACGGGUAGCCGGCCUGAGAGGGUGACCGGCCACACUGGGACUGAGAUACGGCCCAGACUCCUACGGGAGGCAGCAGUGGGGAAUAUUGCACAAUGGGCGCAAGCCUGAUGUAGCGAUGCCGCGUGAGGGAUGACGGCCUUCGGGUUGUAAACCUCUUUCAGCACCGACGAAGCGCGAGUGACGGUAGGUGCAGAAGAAGGACCGGCCAACUACGUGCCAGCAGCCGCAGUAACAC
rnacentral:rRNA from 1 species